GAGCCCAAUAUACAAACAUCCUUAAGGUGAUCCGGUAGAGUACCACAUCAGUCAGACAUAUACCUAGGUUUCUUGAUCCAGGAUGGAGAUCCUGUUGAGCUUGAUGAGAACAAUGAGGAUCCAGUCACCUAUAUAGAUAUAAUGCAGAGGUCUGACUUUGAGAAAUGGUUAGAAGCUAUAAAAUCUAAAAUAAAGUCCAUGAAGAUCAAUAAUGUGUAGACAUUGGUUGAUCCAUCUGAAGGGAUAAAAUCCAUAGGAUGUAAGUGGGUCUUCAAAAGGAAAAGGGGCAC
rnacentral:lncRNA from 1 species